GUGAAUCAUCAAAUUUUUGAACGCAAAUUGCACUCUCUGGUAUUCCGGAUAGUAUGCCUGUUUGAGGGUCAGUUUAAAUCAAAAUCGGUGUGGUUGCUGCCUUUCGUGGUGACGCACCGGAUUUGGGUCGUCUUGCCUUCGGUUAUGCGACCGUAAAUUUUUCAUGAUUUUUUUCGAACGUAUUUAAAUGAUUAUACGUACGUGUUCGAUAACGAAUACUUGGUGUGGUCAUCCUCCU
rnacentral:misc_RNA from 1 species